UUGGAAAGUACUGGCAGAUGCAAAAGAGCGCCUUGGAAUGAACCCCGCACAUGCUGUUUUCUCUGCAGGUUCAAGGCCUGGGAGGAGAAAGAGAAGUCGGCCAGAGCCAGAUCUCAAGAGCCCAUGGAGGUGCCAGCUCUCCGUGAUCUCCAUACCGAGCCCGGGGUGGGUGACCUGCUGCUGUGACACACGGACCCUAGAUGAGCCGAAUUCCUCCCAGGUUCUCUGUUUCUUUCUUGUUGCAUCAUCUGUCUCAAAUUUUCUACUCUCUUAAUUCUCCCAGCUCACUGACAUUUUUACAAUGGGUCUAACCUUAUUAUUUGGUUGUUAGUCACUUAAUAUCUGCGACUGGCUUUUUCAUUGCAUCUCUGCUGCCUGAGGUGGGACACUGGUUUCCAGUGCAUCCCAGUGGCUGAGUCCUGACAGCUGACUUCACCCCGAGCUCCUAGGUGCCUGACCAGCCGACAGCCGGGCCAUCGCUGCUCUCUGUGGAGCGUCAGGAUGUCAGCUGGCUGUGCUGCCUGUUGACAAGAACUCAGGUCCUGGCCUCCCAUUCUGUUCAUGCUUAUUGCGUUUCAUGCCAUUUCCAUUAUACAGAGCAACUGUGUUUUGUAUUUGUUCUAAUUAAAUAGUAGCAAAUGUUCAGUUCAGUGGGUUCUUCCUAUGAAAUGACUCAACAGCCUCCUCCCUCCUCCAAGGAAGUCUGAAAGCAGAUGUUAGCUCAUAUUGUAGAGCUAAACACUGCGCUUGUGUGACCGAAGCCAGCCCAGAUGCUACGGGACAGCUGAGCAUCCUGCUGGGAGUUGUCGUGGUCUAAUGUGCAGCCUUGGCCCUACUUAUUUAAUCCUGGGAUGGGCCCUUCCUUGCUACACCUGUGAGCCUCCAUCUCCCGAGGCAGCCUUGAAGCUCUUGAGGUCUGUGGAAGAAACAAAUGGAGCCCACAGUGCGGGGCGGGGGUGUUUGCAGCCCUCCUUAUUCCCGACUUUUGUCAAUGCUUAAAUCACCCCCUAGAGUGGGUAUGCAAUGCUGUCCCACUCAGGAAGCCUUGGUACUGAUAGCUGGGGUGACGGUGAAGUAUGCGCAUUGUGUGAACAGGGUGGACCAAUCAGGUCGCCAGAGCAAGGGCGUGGGGUGAGACUGAGAACCAGCGUGAGGACCUGGGGAAGCACCCAAAGGUCAAGGCGGCAGCAGGAAGCCAGCUCCUGCAGAGCUGAGAGCUGUU
rnacentral:lncRNA from 1 species